ensembl:snRNA U6 U6 spliceosomal RNA
GUGUUUGCUUUGGGAGCACGUACACUAAAGUGGGAAUGAUACAGAGAUUAGCAUGGCCCCUGCGCAAAAUCUUGAAGUGUUCUACGUAUAU